rnacentral:rRNA from 1 species
GACGAACGCUGGCGGCGUGCUUAACACAUGCAAGUCGAGCGGUAAGGCCCUUUCGGGGGUACGACGAGCGGCGAACGGGUGAGUAACACGUGGGUGACCUGCCCUCCAGCUCUGGGGAGUAAGCCUGGGAAACCGGGGUCGUAAUACUGGAUAUGACUCCAUGACGCAUGUUGUGGGGUGGAAAGCCCUGUGCGGCUGAGGAUGGGCCCGGCGGCCUAUCAGCUUGUUGGUGGGGUGAUGGCCUACCAAGGCGACGACGGGUAGCCGGCCUGAGAGGGCGACCGGCC